rnacentral:rRNA from 1 species
CCUACGGGAGGCAGCAGUGGGGAAUAUUGCACAAUGGGGGGAACCCUGAUGCAGCGACGCCGCGUGAGUGAAGAAGUAUUUCGGUAUGUAAAGCUCUAUCAGCAGGGAAGAAAAUGACGGUACCUGACUAAGAAGCCCCGGCUAACUACGUGCCAGCAGCCGCGGUAAUACGUAGGGGGCCAGCGUUCUCCGGAUUUACUGGGUGUAAAGGGAGCGUAGACGGCGAUGCAAGCCACAUGUGAAAGCCCGGGGCUUAACCCCGGGACUGCAUUUGAAACUGUGUGGCUGGAGUGUCGGAGAGGCAGGCGGAAUUCCUAGUGUAGCGGGGAAAUGCGUAGAUAUUAGGAGGAACACCAGUGGCGAAGGCGGCCUGCUGGACGAUGACUGACGUUGAGGCUCGAAAGCGUGGGGAGCAAACAGGAUUAGAUACCCCAGUAGUC